GAUGAACGCUGGCGGCGUGCCUAAUACAUGCAAGUCGAGCGAAUGGAUUAAGAGCUUGCUCUUAUGAAGUUAGCGGCGGACGGGUGAGUAACACGUGGUAACCUGCCCAUAAGACUGGGAUAACUCCGGGAAACCGGGGCUAAUACCGGAUAAUAUUUUGAACUGCAUGGUUCAAAAUUGAAAGGCGGCUUCGGCUGUCACUUAUGGAUGGACCCGCGUCGCAUUAGCUAGUUGGUGAGGUAACGGCUCACCAAGGCAACGAUGCGUAGCCGACCUGAGAGGGUGAUCGGCCACACUGGGACUGAGACACGGCCCAGACUCCUACGGGAGGCAGCAGUAGGGAAUCUUCCGCAAUGGACGAAAGUCUGACGGAGUAACGCCGCGUGAGUGAUGAAGGCUUUCGGGUCGUAAAACUCUGUUGUUAGGGAAGAACAAGUGCUAGUUGAAUAAGCUGGCACCUUGACGGUACCUAACCAGAAAGCCACGGCUAACUACGUGCCAGCCGCCGCAGUAA
rnacentral:rRNA from 1 species